rnacentral:misc_RNA from 1 species
UUUUUUUUUUUUUUGGUGGAAUUGGAUCUGGGAUCUAUGUUACCAUUUUCCAUAUUCAUUGGAAUAUCUGUUGGGAUCCAACAAUAUAGUUGGAAUUGGAUAUGGGCAUCCUUAUUUCAUUUGGCCAACAGCCUAAUAUUGCUUCAGUUGAACAGUUUAUUUGGAGUUUAUGAUAGGCUCUGCUGGUGAUACUUGGCAGGUGUUAUGGACUUUUCUGAUGUCUGCCCUUGUUGGUUAUUCGCUUUACCAAAGAAAACGCCAAUAAACAAUCUUUUGAGUAUUCUGCAAGGUCUUCAACAAUGUAAGCAAGGAAAGGUCGCAUUGCGCUGUAACAAGAUGGGCUUUAAACCUGGCUCCAACAGGUUCACCGGGGUAAUCAUCGGCAAUGUUGAGUCUAACAGGAACCUCUAACCAGAAUUGUCUGUUUUAUCACAGCUAUCAAUUUCAUAUGGAGAUAAAAUUUAUACCACAAAAAAUCUACUCUUUUUUCCCCCAAUAGAAAACAGCAUAUUAAUUAGUUUCUCCCUUUUGUAAAUAUUUUUAUUGGGAGCAGUUCAGAAUUGCUAACAGGUUAGAGCUACCCUUGUUUUGUGGCUUAUUUAUUAUUUUGAUCUGGGAAAAGCACAAAAAGAACUCUUUCAAUCACCUUAAGUUCUUUCCUUCUAAUUCAUCUUAACAUUUUAUAUUUAUUUUUUUUAAUAUUCUUUCUUAUGAUCAUAUGCUUAAAUGAAGGGUUCAGCAUACCAGUUAAAAUGGAAAUACCCAGAUUUUAGGUGAUUGGAGUGUUGAGGGAAUUGGGUUUUGGUUUAAGCAUACUGGUUGAAACUUCUCGUUUAACACUCUGUUAGUAAAACCCCAGACUUAGGGUGUUAGUUUCAAAGAGCAUGAAUGAUGAAUCCAUAUAACUGACCUUUGAUAGCAGUAGCAUAAAUCUUGAUUUUCAGAAGCAAAAUUUCCACGAUGAGAUUUUAGGACGAGAAUUACCUUACGCGAUUAUCAGAAUUAAAAAUAAGAAGAGUCCCCCAAAGGCCUUCAUCCGUUAACCAUGCGUAUGUACAGAAACGCAUGAAUCCACAUACAAACAAACACUAUUGCCCGCUCUUGUGGCUAUAAAUAAGAAUGCGCUUGAUAGCCCACAGCUCAUCCUGCAACCAUUUAUCAUCCACAAGACUUACAUUCAAAACAUAACCUCCAAGUUGUCAUUUACAAUGUUAAAAUAUCUUGCUUUUAUGCCAUAACAAGAUUGUGAACCAAGUAAAUUCUACCCAAGGAAAGGAAGAAGUCCUUUCUUCAUGAAAUACACAACAAUUGCAAGUAAAAUUACGAAUAAAAUGAUCCACAAGCUUAAUCCUCCUGCAAAGGAAAAGAAUUGUGAGACAGAAUUCAAGGCAAUUAAAGCAAUGUCCUACAUGGUUUGGUUUCCCAAUCUAUAUUACGUUCUUAACAUGUUUAUCUACAACGAACUGCCUAUCUCUAUCAAAGCUUCAAAAUUACCCUCCCUAACAUCUUGGAACCUAAAUUUGAAAAGGAUACUUUCUUCUCAGAAAUUGUCCUUUUAACACAAUUGACUCCAGCCCCAAGUUAAUGCUAUGAGAAUCACACUUCAUUUUAUUUGUUUACAAAUGAAAUAUACAGGUUAGGAUAAUUCUGACAGUAAUAAGUUACUGAAAACUCAGUUUAGUGGUGUUGCCCUACUGGCGAGUGUUACCCUCCUGACUACGAUUAACAGUCCAUCUCAACUAAGUAUUUGGUUGUCACCAAUAGUUGAACAGAAUCACAUUGUCUUAUGCGAUGGGCCUCAAUCAGAGCCCAAUAUGAGGUCAACAGGUUACCAGGUCUAUCCAACCAUUGCAUGUCAAUGCUAAAGACAUGAUAUGCGCAUUUAACAAAAUCCAAAGUCUGGAAGUACAUACCACUUUUGAUCUCCUCAACCGGUGUCACCCUUGCACUUGAGUCCAUGGACGCAGACACCAAAGCCCUUGAAUCAUGCGAGAAUGCUAGUGCUGUUACCAUGCCAAGGUGUGCUUUCCUAACCACUGUUUGAACUCGCAUAUUGAUUGGAUUUAUUAUCAGCACGUCUCCUUCAACUGUACCCCUGUGUGUCAAUCAAUCAUAAAGGAAUAAAUUUCAAUUAUGAAGGCGCUUGCUAACUGAGCUCAAGCAAGUGAAAGUAACAAAGUAUAUGUGCUUAUGGGGCCAACAGUAGAGAUGAAGUACAUUGCAAGGAACUUCGCAUCAGGUGACACACUGAAAGAAGAAACUGAAUCGCGACUUAUAUGCUUUGAGCCAAUCCUCUUCCAUGAGCUUGAGUCCCAUGUCUGAAUACUUCCACCUUUGCCUACUAAAACAAUGUUUAUGAUGAAUUGAUGAUUAGCUCAUAGAACAGAAAUUUUAAAAAGCUUAGGAUCCUAGGCCAUUUGGUAUGCAUCUAGUUUUUGGUUUUUGAUUGCUGUCCAAUAUUAAGAAACUUGCAUCUGCGAAAAAAAGAGUUCAUGAAACAAGAAAAAACAGAAACUUAUAGCUACUUGUUCUUCUUUUUAAGACGUCAAGUAACAAAAACAAACAUGUUCUAAUAAUAUAAUUUCUUUUCAACUAUUGGAUAACAACUAAAAACCAAAAACAACAUGGAGACCAAAUGGGCCAUAACUUGUUUGACAUUCUGAGAAAGGGAUAUGCUCUCAUUCUGAGAAAGAGAUAAUGCUCUCAGUUCGAAUAUUAACCUGUUAUUGCAGCAAUGUAAAGAACCUGAGUCUUAUCACUGCUUUGAGAAAAUCGGCACAUGGCAAAAACCUCAUCAUUGUCCUUUGAUAAAGAAGCUACUACUGUUGAAGAAGUCAUAUUCCAAACCCUUCCAGGACCACGACUUCCCAAGGAAACAAGAAACUUGCCAUCAGGGCUGAAACAUAAAUGCUUUAAAGAAGCAUGAGCUUCAGCCUCAUUGAGAAUGAUUUCCAUGCUGGGCCACUUGAAAACCCUUAAAUAGCCAUCCUCGCCACCAACAGCAAAUACAGAACCGUCAUUGUUAAAGGCCAAUGCUAACUGCUGUCCAAUGUCUUCGAGUUGAGUGAGUACUUUUUCUGACUCUUUUAGACUCAAUCUGUGGGCAUCAUUGUCCUUCACUUCAUCCCAGUCGAAAAAUCGACAGCUUUUUGGCAAUGCACAAAUCAGUCCUUCUCCACCUGGGUGAACAGCCAUUCUAUAAGGCAAAUCAGAACCAAGUCCAAGCUUAACUGCCUGAAAGAUAAGAUAACAAAUGCAUACACAAUAAUGUCAUCUCAAAUUAGACAAUGAAACAGCUGAAUAUAAUGUUAUGAGAUAUCUCACUGCCAAGCAUAAAUGAAAGGGAACAGUACAAAAAUUUAACAGUGGCUUGGGACCUUUUUAAGUAGGGUCAUGUGGUUUUAACUUUUCACGAAUACUUACCAUGUUUUUGUUAGCAAAACACAUCCAAUUGGCCUAGUGCCGUCUAGAAAUGUUAACACAGUGGCACUAUUUUAUACUGUGCCAAGUGUCACUGCCACAUCUGCAUUUCCAGAAGGCGUUGGGCUAUUUGGACAUGAUUUACUAAUGGAUAUUAGCACAUGGUAGCUGUUUGUGAAAAGUCGAAUCACAAAACCUUACUUGAAAUUGGCCCAAAUAACAGGAUGUAAUUUUGUACUUUCAUCUAAUUGAAAAUGCCUGCAAACUAAUUCUAACAGGACAUGGCAUACCACGAAAUAUGAAAAUAAAAACAUAUUAGGAACCCAAAACCUGAGGAAAGUCACAUUCAUUGCCAGACAUUCUCCAACAGAAAAUUUAACACUAUGAAUGAAAUAAAAAAAAAAAAAAAAUCCCCAGAGAAUAGAUCAUUAAAUGAAAUUUAUAACGUUCUUUGCUUGAUCAACUCCAAUUGAGUGAACAGAUAAAAUUUGCAUCGAAGUUACAAACCGUUGAAUUUGCAAAUAAUUGCUACUACCGUCAUCUAAAUUUCUAGGUAAGCCUAGAAAUCUUUGGCUAAAUUGGCUCCAUGCUAUAAUAAUCAAUACAAAGCUGGAUUAUAGAUCAACUGCUAAGCUAAAAAAUAGAAAGAAAUAAUGAUAUGAGCAAGAAAACAGAUAUUGCGAAUGUCAUGCAAAUCAGCCAAAUAUAAGACGCAAAUUGAAAUUAUAAUAUCACACUUCCCAUGUAAUUAGACGAGUGCAAGCAGAAGCAAAGGGCAUAUAGAUCCUAACUAGCUCAAUUAUAUGGAAAAUCCAUAUAAAUCCUCAGUUUCCAUAAAUAACCCAAUUGAGAGAGUGAGCUCUGUUUUAGCUUUAAAACAGAAAAGCAUCAAAAAAAUCUGAAUAUGCAGAGUUAUAUUUUAGCAUAAACUGCAUUUCACUUAUGGAGAUAAGAUUCAAAUACGAGCACCGAUUGGACUCUUAUAGUAUGUGAAAAAUCAACAUACAGGCUGGGCAGAGAGAGAAUUGGAGGCGAAAUCGAAAUGAGAGAGAACGAUAGCGUUAGGGAUGCCGCUGCGGCCUUCUCCGCCACCUCCGGCAAAAACGAGGUAAUAUUGAUCGGCGAUCUCCUGCUGAGCUCCAGGAGGUGAGGUUUCCUUGCCUGAAUCUUCAUCUUUAUCGCCGGAUUUAUGAGGAUCCAGAGGUUGAAGCUUGGAUCUGACUUCUUUGAAGGGUACCCAAGCAGCAGAGUAGAAAGGGACGCCGUAUUUUUGCAAGCUAGGAGGGUCCGGCUUAUUGCCCUUUCCCAUUGCCUUGCCGAAGAGACUGGAAUUUGGAUUCUCACGAAGGUCGACUGCAAAUCACUUCACCGUUCUUACGCGUCCAUAUUUAGCCCUCCAGAAUACAAC